UGCUAGUUGUACGAGUUUAGACUCGUAGCAGAUAGCUCAGUAACACGUGGCCAAACUACCCUAUGGAUCCAGACAACCUCGGGAAACUGAGGCUAAUCUGGAAUACGACUCUCAUCCUGGAGUGGAGAGAGUCCGAAAUGCUCCGGCGCCAUAGGAUGUGGCUGCGGCCGAUUAGGUAGACGGUGGGGUAACGGCCCACCGUGCCAGUAAUCGGUACGGGUUGUGAGAGCAAGAGCCCGGAGACGGUAUCUGAGACAAGAUACCGGGCCCUACGGGGCGCAGCAGGCGCGAAACCUUUACACUGCACGCCAGUGCGAUAAGGGGACUCCAAGUGCGAGGGCAUAUAGUCCUCGCUUUUUGCGACCGUAAGGUGGUCGCGGAAUAAGUGCUGGGCAAGACCGGUGCCAGCCGCCGCGGUAAUACCGGCAGCACGAGUGAUGACCGCUGUUAUUGGGCCUAAAGCGUCCGUAGCUGGCCGCGCAAGUCUAUCGGGAAAUCUCUCCGCUUAACGGAGAGGCGUCCGGUGGAAACUGUGUGGCUUGGGACCGGAAGACCAGAGGGGUACGUCUGGGGUAGGAGUGAAAUCCCGUAAUCCUGGACGGACCACCGGUGGCGAAAGCGCCUCUGGAAGACGGAUCCGACGGUGAGGGACGAAAGCUCGGGUCACGAACCGGAUUAGAUACCCGGGUAGUCCGAGCUGUAAACGAUGUCUGCUAGGUGUGACACAGGCUACGAGCCUGUGUUGUGCCGUAGGGAAGCCGUGAAGCAGACCGCCUGGGAAGUACGUCCGCAAGGAUGAAACUUAAAGGAAUUGGCGGGGGAGCACUACAACCGGAGGAGCCUGCGGUUUAAUUGGAUCA
rnacentral:rRNA from 1 species